GUGGAGCAUGUGGCUUAAUUUGACUCAACGCGGGGAAUCUUACUAGGUCCGGACCGAUUCUAUGAUCGUCGUACUGUGGGGUGCUACGUGAUUACUGGAUGAGUGGUGCAUGGCCGUUCUUAGUUCGUGGUGUUAAUUGUCUACUUAAUUGUCAUCGGUUCUCGUAUCAUGCGAGAAUUAAUAACGAACGAGAUCGAGACCCGUGGUUGCGUCAUAGUUUAUAUGUGUACGACGUUAACUACGGGGAUCGCGUAACACUCCACGGUACGAUCGAAAGACUCGGCAAUAACAGGUCUGUGAUGCCCUCAGAUGUUCUAGGCUGCACACGUGCUACAGUGUGGCGUUGUAUCGUGUGUGUAUGCAGAGAACUGAUAAGAUCCCCCGCACCGAGUCAUAAUUGGUCACACGGUUGGACUCACCGAUUGUCAAUUAUUCGGUAUACUAA
rnacentral:rRNA from 1 species